UUCAGACCUCAGUUUAUGUAAACAUCCUACACUCAGCUGUAGCCACGUUGACCACAGGCUGAGAGAAGGCUGUUUACUUUAACUGUCUGAA
rnacentral:pre_miRNA from 10 species